rnacentral:lncRNA from 1 species
GGUGAAAAUUCUAAAAAGGCUAUCAUUAUCCCUUAUGGGCCAGGAAAUACUACCGUGCCACCUUAAUUCCUCACUGGCUAUAGGUAAUGGGGAAUUUUGAGACCUAACAAAGCAUGUUUAAAUCUGCAUUAUUUAAGGCAUGUUCAAAGUCGGGAACCUCUGGCCUUUAGUAUUAUAUUUCUUUAUUACUAGUAAUUGUGGUUCAUUUUACAUCUUUUAGAGGUUAAUAUGACAUCAAUUUUUGUUUACUUAGUAUACAUUAUUACUUAUGGUCUAGCUGAAUCUCGCCUCCAGUUGAGGAAUUGUCUCUUGUUGACCUUGUUAUAUUAGUGGCCUUGGGCUGGUUUUCUUUCCAAUUGAUUUGUUACAAAAUGGAUGGAUUAAUAAAGUAAAUACUAGAAGGUGGUAGACAGGGCAUCCUUGCUUUUUUUUUAGAGCAGCUGAUAGUAUUUCCACUUUUUAAGCUCACUUCUUCGCUCAUCAGCAAAAUAUAAACAUUGUCGGAACAGCUUUAGUAACAGAACAAAAAGUGAUGUUCUACGCCUUUAUCUUGUUUCUUAGCGAGUUUAAAUGCAUGUAGAAAUUAACAUGGUUUAAACGCCGACCGCGAAGAAGAUCCCCCCAAUUGAAAUGUUACGUAAGGAUUUUGUUUUUAUGUGUUUUUAACGCCAAUUUGAAGCCCUGCAUUUCUGCUAUUUCGUGGAGGCCAGUUUUUAUUGGUGGAGGAAGCAUAAGUGUCCGGAGAACAUCACCGACAUUUGAUAGGAUAACUGACAAUCCUAGUCAAUAAACUCAUCAUAGAUACCAGGAUUGAAAUUUUAUAUUUGCACCAGACACGCGUUUUGUCUACAAAAGACUCCUCAGUGACGCUCGAAUAAAAAAAUGUUUAAAAGGUCAAAUAAAGUACGAAGUUGAAAAGCAUUGAGAAC